rnacentral:lncRNA from 1 species
AGCAGAUCAACAAGCCUAGGCUGAUGGUGACCGCUGCAGUAGCUCCUGGCAUCUCCAACAUCCAGUCUUGCUAUGAGAUUCCCCAGUUGUCCCCGUACCUGGACUAUAUCCAUGUCAUGACUUAUGACCUCCACAGCUCCUAGGAGGGCUACACUGGAGAGAACAGCCCCCUCUACACAUACUCAACUGACACUGGCAGCAACACCUACCUCAGUGUGGAUUAGGUCAGGAACUACUGGAAGGACAAUGGAGCCCCAGCUGAGAAGCUCAUCAUUGCAUUCCCAGCCCACGGACACGCCUUCAACCUGAGCAACCUUCCAACACUGGCACUGGCACCCCUACCUCUGGCGCUGGUUCUGCUGGACCCUACACCAGGUUGCACCACCCCUGCUCAGUCCACGGAGCCAGUAACUCCUGUUCCCAGCAGCAGGAGCGGAAGUGGGAGAGAGACCGGGAGCAGCGGUUCUGGAGGCAGCUCUGGCGGCAAUGGAUUCUGUGCCAG